GAUGAACGCUGGCGGCGUGCCUAAUACAUGCAAGUCGAGCGAACGGACGAGAAGCUUGCUUCUCUGAUGUUAGCGGCGGACGGGUGAGUAACACGUGGAUAACCUACCUAUAAGACUGGGAUAACUUCGGGAAGCCGGAGCUAAUACCGGAUGAUAUUUUGAACCGCAUGGUUCAAAAGUGAAAGACGGUCUUGCUGUCACCUAUAGAUGGAUCCGCGCUGCAUUAGCUAGUUGGUAAGGUAACGGCUUACCAAGGCAACGAUGCAUAGCCGACCUGAGAGGGUGAUCGGCCACACUGGAACUGAGACACGGUCCAGACUCCUACGGGAGGCAGCAGUAGGGAAUCUUCCGCAAUGGGCGAAAGCCUGACGGAGCAACGCCGCGUGAGUGAUGAAGGUCUUCGGAUCGUAAAACUCUGAUAUUAGGGAAGAACAUAUGUGUAAGUAACUGUGCACAUCUUGACGGUACCUAAUCAGAAAGCCACGGCUAACUACGUG
rnacentral:rRNA from 1 species